GGACUCUCAGAUGAAAGAAUUGCGCCAGGAUGAAACCACGAAGGGACUGAGGGGUUUAAAUAGCCGACGGAUCCCGGUGCAAUUAUGGCGGCGGGUAUUCCUGGGCCAACUGAUGUGUGCCGCGUGGCGCGCUUAUCCCCUUCACCGCCAUCGAGGGUUGACCGCUCACGAAUUCCCGCAGAGCGACGCUUAGGAUCGCAUUUCGAUGGGAGCUCCGAAAAGACUUUUCAAGUCACCUUCACCGAAAAACAGAUUCUGACGUGCGCGCAUUAAAUGAGGGCGGCAGUGCACAAAGUUCGAAGGGGCGAUUCCGGCUGCGCGCAUCUCUCUCUGUGUACUUCCUUCGCUUGA
rnacentral:lncRNA from 1 species